rnacentral:rRNA from 1 species
UACGUAGGGGGCAAGCGUUGUCCGGAUUUAUUGGGCGUAAAGAGCGUGUAGGCGGCCAUGCAGGUCCGUUGUGAAAACUCGAGGCUCAACCUCGAGACGCCGAUGGAAACCGCAUGGCUAGAGUCCGGAAGAGGAGAGUGGAAUUCCUGGUGUAGCGGUGAAAUUCGCAGAUAUUAGAUGGAACACCAGUGGCGAAGGCGACUAACUGGACCGACAUUGACGCUGAGGCACGAAAGCGUGGGUAGCAAACAGG